GACGAACGCUGGCGGCGUGCUUAACACAUGCAAGUCGAACGGAAAGGCCCUGCUUUUGUGGGGUGCUCGAGUGGCGAACGGGUGAGUAACACGUGAGUAACCUGCCCUUGACUUUGGGAUAACUUCAGGAAACUGGGGCUAAUACCGGAUAGGAGCUCCUGCUGCAUGGUGGGGGUUGGAAAGUUUCGGCGGUUGGGGAUGGACUCGCGGCUUAUCCGCUUGUUGGUGGGGUAGUGGCUUACCAAGGCUUUGACGGGUAGCCGGCCUGAGAGGGUGAACGGCCACAUUGGGACUGAGGUACGGCCCAGACUCCUACGGGAGGCAGCAGUGGGGAAUAUUGCACAAUGGGCGGAAGCCUGAUGCAGCAACGCCGCGUGCGGGAUGACGGCCUUCGGGUUGUAAACCGCUUUCGCCUGUGACGAAGCGUGAGUGACGGUAAUGGGUAAAGAAGCACCGGCUAACUACGUG
rnacentral:rRNA from 1 species